UUCUGGUUGAUCCUGCCGGAGGCUACCGCUAUUGGAGUUCGAUUAAGCCAUGCGAGUCGCGAGACUUAGAAUCUCGGCGUACCGCUCAGUAACACGUGGGUAACCUGCCCUAUGCUAGGGGAUAACCUCGGGAAACUGAGAAUAAUACCCUAUAGUUCACCACGCCUGGAACGGUGGGUGGAUGAAAGCUCCGGCGGCAUAGGAUGGGCCUGCGGCGUAUCAGGUUGUAGGGGGUGUAAUGUACCCUCUAGCCAUCUACGCGUACGGGUGUUGGGAGACAUCGCCCGGAGAUGGAUUCUGAGACACGAAUCCAGACCCUACGGGGUGCAGCAGGCGCGAAAACUUGGCAAUGCGAGAAAUCGUGACCAGGGAACUCCAAGUGCAUCGGGUAAGACCGAUGCUUUUCUUGACUCUUCAAAGGUCUUGGAAUAAGGGGUGGGUAAGGACGGUGCCAGCCGCCGCGGUAAUACCGGCGCCUCAAGUGGUAGUCGCUUUUAUUGGGCCUAAAACGUCCGUAGCCGGUUUGGUACAUUCGUGGGUAAAUCAAGGCGCUCAACGUCUUGAAUUCUGCGAGCACGGCCAGACUUGGGACCGGGUGAGGUGUGGGGUACUCUCAGGGUAGGGGUAAAAUCCUGUCAUCCUGAGAGGACCACCUGUUGCGAAGGCGCCACACUAGAACGGAUCCGACGGUCAGGGACGAAGCCUAGGGGCACGAACCGGAUUAGAUACCCGGGUAGUCCUAGGUGUAAACGCUGUGGACUUGAUGUUGGGAGUGCUCCGAGCACCCUCAGUGUCGAAGCGAAGGUGAUAAGUCCACUGCCUGGGGAGUACGGUCGCAAGGCUGAAACUUAAAGGAAUUGGCGGGGGAGCACUGCAACCUGAGGAUUGUGCGGUUUAAUUGGACUCAACGCCGGAA
rnacentral:rRNA from 1 species